rnacentral:rRNA from 1 species
UGGGGAAUUUUGGACAAUGGGCGCAAGCCUGAUCCAGCCAUGCCGCGUGCGGGAAGAAGGCCUUCGGGUUGUAAACCGCUUUUGUCAGGGAAGAAAUCUUCUGAGUUAAUACCUCGGGAGGAUGACGGUACCUGAAGAAUAAGCACCGGCUAACUACGUGCCAGCAGCCGCGGUAAUACGUAGGGUGCAAGCGUUAAUCGGAAUUACUGGGCGUAAAGCGUGCGCAGGCGGUUUUGUAAGACAGAGGUGAAAUCCCGGCGUCAACCUGGGAACUGCCUUUGUGACUGCAAGGCUUGAGUGCGGCAGAGGGGGAUGGAAUUCCGCGUGUAGCAGUGAAAUGCGUAGAUAUGCGGAGGAACACCGAUGGCGAAGGCAAUCCCCUGGGCCUGCACUGACGCUCAUGCACGAAAAGCGUGGGGAGCAAAACAGGAUUAGAUACCCUGGUAGUCCACGCCCUAAACGAUGUCAACUGGUUGUUGGGAAGGUUCCUUCUCAGUAACGUAGCUAACGCGUGAAGUUGACCGCCUGGGAAGUACGGCCGCAAGGUUGAAACUCAAAUGAAUUGACGGGGUCAUAGCUGUUUCCUG